rnacentral:misc_RNA from 1 species
CCCCGUCGUCUGGCUGCUCUCCGUUGGAAUCGCAUCACCUCGCUCUAGACAUACUUUUCAUCUUCGUUGUUUAUACUUAAUAAUCCUCUUUUUUAUCUACUCCAGUGUAUUUUUCUUGUUCAUAAGUGUAUCUAUUUCGUUCAGCGCUUUGUAUUUCUUCUGUAUAUUACGUGUUUUUGUGCAUAUUCCAUCGUUUUCGACGCGGCCGUCGACGGACACCACGCCGCUUCGUUCGCCGCUCCCGGGGUCACCCUCAGAAGCCACAUGACGGGCGGUACAACCUGCUGUGUACCGGGCUGUGCCCACACCACUCUCACUGCCAAGCAUGUGUCCUGGAAUCGCUUUCCGAAGAACAGCCAUCUACGCAACAUUUGGGUACAGCGAAUCAACAGGAAAGGUACCACUGGACGGUUCUCUCUGUGGACGCCAACCUCUGACAGCAGAAUAUGCGGCGCUCAUUUUAACGAAACUGGGAGAAAGAAGUACGAGGACAAAGCUCCCCGGUUUUUUCCAACCAGGACAUUUCCGAAGUAUGUUGCGGCCUGCCCAAAGGUCCCAAACAUGAUCUGCGCAAGGAAGCGCCAUGCGCUGCAGCCGCUGCCGGCCUACUUUCUGUCGGACCUUGACCUGGCACAGACCGUGACCCUGCCUGCUAGCCAGGAGCCAGCACAACCCGGCAGCCCCUUGGCCUCCGCUGGUGCCCCUGACACUGAUGAUGUAAUAGCUAGCGACCACCAGUACAGCAUCACAGGAUGUAUCGAUCAAGCCCUGCGUGAUCGCAUCAGGCAGCUAGAGGAGCUCGCUUCUGCAAACGAGAAACUGCGCAAGGACAACGACCGUCUACAGAAAGAAAAUGAAGCUCUGCGGAAGAAAGUAGCCCAUCUUGAGGAGAUGUAUGACAAAGCAGAGGAGGUCAUCGAUGCUACAAUCCCCUUUCAGAACUUCACGCUCACAGCCGUGCAACAGGACCCAAAGAAACUGGCCUUCUACACGGGAUUCGACUCCCUGGAGAGAUUUCUCGCCUUUUACAAGUUUGUUCAGGCAGGUUAUGAAGCUCACAAGGAAAGUCAAGGUCCGCAGAGAAGGUCACCUUAUCUAUCCAUGGAUGAUCAGCUGCUGCUCGUGUUGUCCCGCCUGAGGGUGGGACUUUUGGAGCAGGACCUUGCAUACCGGUUUCGUAUCCACAUCAGCACAGUCAGCCGGGUGUGGACAUUCUGGAUUGGUUACCUAGCGGACUACCUUGCUCAACUCAACUACUGGCCGUCGCGACAGGUUGUGAACAAGCACAUGCCGGAGUGCUUCAUCGAGGCGUAUCCAUCGACGAGAGUCAUUCUGGAUUGCACGGAAAUCUUCAUCGAGACACCUAGCGACUUCAGGGUGCAGAGUGAUACCUACUCAAGCUACAAGUGCCACAACACUGCCAAGGGACUGCUGGGCAUCACCCCCAAUGGGUUCGUGUCGUUCGUGAGCGACCUUGCCCCUGGCCGCGUCUCUGACAAAGCCCUGACCGCAUGUUCCGGGCUAUGCAACCUUCUUGAGCCCGGAGACUCUGUCAUGGCGGACAGAGGCUUUUUGAUCACUGAAGAGGUCGAAGCUGCAGGGGCUAACCUGAACAUUCCACCUUUCCUUGGGGGAAGGCUACAGCUCUCCCUGGAGGACGAAGCGAAAACUAGGGCGAUUGCGAAGGUCCGGAUCCACGUGGAACGAGUGAUUGGACAAAUGAAGUGUUUUCGAAUCUUGAGGGGUACUUUCCCAAACAGUAUGAGCAAGAGCCUGGACUCUAUCUGGAAGGUCUGUGCUUUGCUGUGCAAUUUCACGAGAGAGCCACUGCUCAGUCGAAGCUAGAGCUGCAGUCUUGUGGCUUCGUAGAUGGUCGUGGAGAAAAAAGAGGCCAUAUCUCUCUAUCUAGCUCACUUCAGCUCCGGCAACUUUUUGUGCCCACACGCCCUCAUGACCCAUGACGACCAUUAGCACCGACUACGGCCCUCGGGACUUUCCUCUACCCAACGAAAUGGACUCACAACCCACCGAGGCCACGCUGGCUUCUCCCGCUGUCUGAAGCUUACCGCUCAAUGCACCACCCACAGCCGGUGCAACCACUCCUGCCGUCACGUCGCUUCUUGAUGCACCACUUGUUGCCGCGUGAAUUCAACCUGCGGUCUUUACUCAGAAUCCAUUCUCCAUCCUCGGCGACGAUGAUCCCGAAAGCAAGUUGUCGCCCCUCAACAACAGUUGCCACAUCCGCACUGCCGCCAAUGAAACGAAGCGUGCUCGUGGCAUUUUUUUCUUCGGCGCCGCUGCGACUAAGCUUACCACCUCACCCCGGUGCAUCCAACGUGACUCGAACCCUGACUCGUUCCCCCUGGAGGACGGAUGGCAUCCUGUCUCUCGCCGACGUAAGGCGGCCCCGCCCGCGGCGCCUCCAGCAGCAUCGUUCUGCAGUGAGUUCUCCCACACUGUCAUUCUACGGCCGGCCAAACCAUGCCGCAUCAUGGACGGGGUCUUUCUUGCCAUUGACUCUGCAGUUGCUGCACAGAUAGACCUCAGGUCUCCUACACCAUUGCAGCCCCCUACCAAGUGAGGUCUCCGUGCAAGGCUACGAGGCCAUUCGCCGUGGCCAGGUUCGCGGAUUCAUAAAAAAAGUCUGGCGACCUGGAUUCUGCGUCCUAAAAAACCUUCAUUGCCGGAAAUCUGCUAUCCUCCAGGCCGGUCCUCUCACAAACUCUGGGUCGGCACUCAUUACAUUCGACGGCACCAGCCUCGCGUUGCCCAGUGCCCCAACAGCACCCAAGCCAACGGCACAACACAGCGUCGUCAGUUGCCUUCAUCAACAUCCAAAGAGAAGCCGGCGUCACCACCAGUGACGCCUGAAACUAGCUCCUGCUCAGCAAGCUGUGCUGUUAUCUGCGCCCAAAGCCCUCAUCGCAGCACCGAGGUCUGCGAAGCAGAAGACUGACUCCCGCCCGGUGCUCGCCACAAAACUCCUAACGCCGGCACACAACAUCACCGCCGACCUCACACAAGUCCCAACAUCAGAACCGCCUCGGACCACCUUCGCAGAAUCAGCGAGAGCUGUCAACAGCACUAGUGAGACGCCUGCCCUACUUCCGUCAGGGUCAGACUUUACUGGCUUGCAACAACAAAUCACCCUUUUCACAAAACAAAUGCUGGCAGCCACGCAGCGAAUUCCGACGAUGCAAAACUCGCUGUUUACUCUCGUGGAUACCUGCACCCGUGCAGUAAUCGGGCGCCUCGCGAUGCAGGGCAUCAUUCCGUUCGGCGGCCCCCCACUAUCACCACGCAAACAUGGUUAGCGCCCCCAGGAUUGUUCAGUGGAACUGUUGCUCGCUUAAACAGAAGAAGGCAGACUUCAUCGAAAAAUUUUAUCUUCACUCGUCAUCCGACAUGGCCGCUGCGUUUGCUCUACAAGAAAUCAACGGCCCCCUCCCUUCUUUGCCACAGUACGAUGGACUUGCUCCGAACAUUGAGACUAGUGCCCCCUUGCCUUGGAUUCGUUCCGCCCUGUACGUUCAUCGAUCAGUGUGCUUCACUCUUCUCGACACCUCACAGAGGUGCUCUGCAAUGACCAGCGUUACGGGUUGCCGCCAAUUCCUCAACGGCCCGUUUUUCUCUUCUCUGUCUAUGUGGCUCCAGACACAUCGCUAAACCGCUGGACAAGGCAGCCGCUAAACAUCCCUUUUUUUAAGCACUUCGCCCGUCUUUAUCCAAAAGACGACGUUCCCGUUUGCGGUGAUCUUAAUGCCAAACACACGCAUGGGGCUACGACAUUGACCUUCCCCACGGCACGCGGCUUCUUGCAGACCUCACAGGGCUGAAACUUUCGUUCCUCAACAUCCCAGACACCCCCACACGUAUCAAACAAUCCUCCCAACAGCAGGACACCUGCCCCGACUUUACCUGUGCUCGUUACCCUCGACGCUGGAGAUGGCAUGUCGCCGGCGACCGCCUCGGCGGUGAUCACCUCCCCAUUAUUUUACGCUACGACUUCCUAUCCGCAACCCUAUCUCACUGUCGCGCCUGCUGCGACACAUUCUUCACUAAGUGGGACAACUUCCGAGCAGCUCUUUCUUCUGUCAUGGAACUUGCUGGCUUUUCCGACAUUAUACAAGCUAUCCAGUCCGCCCACAAGUCUGCCACAAAGCGGCUAACCGUACCGGACGAUGCCGCUUUGACGAGCAUUUACUUACUGGACCGCCGCAUUCACCUGUUGGCCUGUUACCGCCGUUCUCGCAGACCACGACGACUCCUCAAACCUUCACAUAAACUCCAAAAGACUAUCUCGUGCUACACUUCGGAACUCGCUUCCAACUGCUGGACUUCCCUGUGCAGAUCCAUCUCCGGCAAUAGCCAUCUUUCGAAAGUUUGAAGGCUCCUCCGUUCUCUCCUCGGGGACCACAAACCUAGGCAAUUUGCUGCCACUGUUGCCCUUCGCAAAGGUGUCUCUCCCGAGGAGCUAGCUGAACGGGCCUCGGACGUCUUUUUUCCGCAACCAGCGCAACAUGACUCUGGAUGCUACACUUGUGUUCACCCUGUCACCAAGCUCUUGGGAUGGAUUGCCCGUUCACCCUCCACUCGCAGUGCACCUGGCCCCCAACAACGUCACAGUCGGGCAACUUCAGAACCUCCCUACGGCACUCAAGGAAACCAUACUCGCCGAGAUCAACCAGGUGACUCCAGACUACUGAAGCCCCAGGAGUCCCUGAUCGCUGCCACUUGUCUCAUUCGCCCUGGAAGCUCCCGAGAAGAUUAAAAGCUUUUCCUCUUUUUAUGCCCAAACAGCAGGGCAGAUAUGGUGGCCACUUCUUUGGUCGUUAAAUAAAUGUUUCAAAGCAAAGGUAGAUGGUCAUGAUGAAAGAAAUCAAGGACGUUAGGAUUCCUGUCAGAAGUACUCAACGCAAUAAAAUGUUGUCCAAACUUGCCAGGUUUUAAUUUUAGAUUGGUUGCACACUACACGACAGAGUAGCGAGCAUUUGAUUAUUCUUAAUUUUUAACUAGGACUGAUUAAAUUAAUUUCAAUACUUUUGGAUGUUUUAUUUUAAUACACACAUAUCCUCUAAAAAGGGCGGAAAUGUAGUGGUUAAUAAAGAAAAAUAGACGUAAUGGUGGGGCCACAGUCGACUCCUAGCAGAACUGUUUGGUGGGGCAACAGGCAGACUGAGAUUAAAGCCCCUCUAUCCUGGGAAAAGUGGCGCCAUUCAUUG